UGGUUUGUGAAGUUGUCCUGACGUGGCAGUCACUUCGUGGCAGGCCGUGGGCCAGGCGUGGUCACGUCUUCAGGGCCGCCUCCCCGCCCUGGAUCCAGACCCGAGAGAACCUCUACAUGUCCACUAUCCGGGAAGUCCAAGACUAACGUCCUUGUUAGAGUCUCACCCACUACUCACUCCUUUUACAAGGGAGGAAACUGAGGUCCGGUGAAGGGGAAAUGACUUGCCCAAGAGAAAAAUGUGACUACCAAUUAGCAAUGUGUAAGGCAUUUGGAUAAUUCUGACCUUCUUCUGAAGGAUAUGUGGACAGAGAACAUCAGGAAGGAGAAAGAAAAAGAUUUUGGAAUGGCAAAUAUGGAUGGAGAUUCAACCUCAGUAUAUCAAUGGAUUUGUUUAAAAUUCUAGAAACUGCUAAAAAUGGAUUCCCUCUGGAUGAUGUUCUCUUUCUUCUGUAUUGAGCUGAGAUCUUAUAUUGGUCCCAGCCUUGCCUGCAGAUCCCGACUGAGAAUUCUUUCUGAAAACCUGUGACACUGGCCUGGGGAUUCCCAUCACUGUUAGGGUAUCUCUCACCUGUCAACAUAUGCACUCUCCUUCGGGUUGAAAAAGUGGGAUCAAGAUGGCAAAGUAGAAGAAAGAAGUCUACUUCCCCCAUCACAAUUCUUCAACAAAGAUCUGAAAAAUACAGCAAGUCAAGCCCUGAUCAAGAAAGAAUCCAAGAAAAAAAAAAUCCCAGUGAAUCUUUUUUCCAGCACAGGAUUAACAAAUAGAUACAGAUGUUUGUAUACACUGGACUUAGGGUACAGCAAGGAGUGCUUUGUGCACAGUACCUGAAAGAGAUCUGAAGAUGUUAGGACAAGAAGAGGCCUCAGGCCUAUACAAAAGGACCCAAUCUUGUACAGAGUGAAGAAGCAGGUGCUAGCUGAUAGCUUUGUCAUUUGCUGCCCAAUUCUAUCACAGAUCCAAGACAGACUGAGACAGAAACUUAUGCUUGCAUAUAGAUAUAAACAGGCUAGGGUCAGACUAAAGAGCAGGUAAAUGAGGGGAAAAGAGCUUUGAAACAAA